GUUUCCUUGGCAAGUGAGAUCAGUACUUCUUGAGAAAUAAAGCAAAUCUGACAUCAAUUCUUGCUAACUCUGACUGAUUUAUUACAAACUUGGAAAUGAAGGGAGGAGCUGAGCCACCACAAAAGAAAAAGGGAAGGAAGAACUCCAUGCAGAUGCUGAAAACAGCCAUGUUAAUUUCAGCUGUAGCAGUUGCGGUGGCUGGAGUAGUUAUUGUCAUAACCAAGAAACUUAAAGAGAAAUGAACAUAUAUUUAUACAUAUACAUGGUUGCAGGAUGAUGUAGCUAGCCAAAAGAGUGUUAAAAUCUAGCAAAUUCAAUCCUUUUUUUUCUCAUUUCAAGUUUAUUUGUUUUAGAUUUUUUUGUAAGUUAUAACUACCAUUAUUUUGCCCAUUGGGGCUUUUCCUUAUUCCAUUCAUACUAAAACAUUGAUUCAGAACUUCCUUCUGUUACCA